GAAUAUUGGUCAAUGGACGCAAGUCUGAACCAGCCAUGCCGCGUGGAGGAUGAAGGUCCUCUGGAUUGUAAACUUCUUUUAUCUGGGACGAAAAAGGGUCUUUCUAGAUCAACUGACGGUACCAGAUGAAUAAGCACCGGCUAACUACGUGACAGCCGCCGCGGUAAUACGGAGGGUGCAAGCGUUAUCCGGAUUCACUGGGUUUAAAGGGUGCGUAGGUGGGUUGGUAAGUCAGUGGUGAAAUCCCCGAGCUUAACUUGGGAACUGCCAUUGAUACUAUCAGUCUUGAAUAUUGUGGAGGUUAGCGGAAUAUGUCAUGUAGCGGUGAAAUGCUUAGAUAUGACAUAGAACACCAAUUGCGAAGGCAGCUGGCUACGCAUAUAUUGACACUGAGGCACGAAAGCGUGGGGAUCAAACAGG
rnacentral:rRNA from 1 species